CAAGUUUUAUGUUUCAUGGUUAUACUCACCGUUCCUCUGGGUGGUUUGGUUAUUGUUGUUCCUGCUGAAUUAGUGCUUUGGGUUGAUGAGUUUUAUGGUGAGGAGCAUAGAAGCAGUUCAGGCAGCAAAGAGUAAAACAAGUGUCAGAUCAAAACAAAGAGGGCCAUUCUCAGAAAAUUGCCUGUGAUUCUUCUGAUGGUGUCACUAACCAAGUCUCAAAAGAGAGUUUGCAGCAGUCACCGCAAACACAAAGCGAAGAAAUAAAACAGAAUGAUUCUCAAGGGAAAAGGAUAUCUGUUCUGAACAGGAUACGUGUACCGGUCACAUAUGAUGACUUGGUUGGAGAGGAACCGAAAGAUCAAUCAAAUUGAUUAUUAUAAUUAUAAAACAAAGGAUUUUGAGUGUAUAGAGGAUCAUCAUUCCCGGUAUUCAGUUUUGGCAAUUUAAUUCAUUUACUAGU